rnacentral:rRNA from 1 species
AUGCACGCUGGCGGCGUGCCUAAUCCAUGCAGGUCGAGCGAACAGACGAGGAGCUUGCUCCUCUGACGUUAGCGGCGGACGGGUGAGUAACACGUGGAUAACCUACCUAUAAGACUGGGAUAACUUCGGGAAACCGGAGCUAAUACCGGAUAAUAUAUUGAACCGCAUGGUUCAAUAGUGAAAGACGGUUUUGCUGUCACUUAUAGAUGGAUCCGCGCCGCAUUAGCUAGUUGGUAAGGUAACGGCUUACCAAGGCGACGAUGCGUAGCCGACCUGAGAGGGUGAUCGGCCACACUGGAACUGAGACACGGUCCAGACUCCUACGGGAGGCAGCAGUAGGGAAUCUUCCGCAAUGGGCGAAAGCUUGACGGAGCAACGCCGCGUGAGUGAUGAAGGUCUUCGGAUCGUAAAACUCUGUUAUUAGGGAAGAACAAAUGUGUAAGUAACUAUGCACGUCUUGACGGUACCUAAUCAGAAAGCCACGGCUAACUACGUG